rnacentral:rRNA from 1 species
AUACGUAGGGGGCGAGCGUUGUCCGGAAUGAUUGGGCGUAAAGGGCGUGUAGGCGGCCCGGUAAGUCUGGAGUGAAAGUCCUGUUUUUAAGAUGGGAAUUGCUUUGGAUACUGUCGGGCUUGAGUGCAGGAGAGGUAAGUGGAAUUCCCAGUGUAGCGGUGAAAUGCGUAGAGAUUGGGAGGAACACCAGUGGCGAAGGCGACUUACUGGACUGUAACUGACGCUGAGGCGCGAAAGUGUGGGGAGCAAACAGGAUUAGAUACCCUGGUAGUCCACACUGUAAACGAUGAAUGCUAGGUGUAGGGGGUAUCGACCCCUUCUGUGCCGCAGUCAACACAAUAAGCAUUCCGCCUGGGGAGUACGGCCGCAAGGUUGAAACUCAAAUGAAUUGACGGGG